rnacentral:rRNA from 1 species
AUUGAACGCUGGCGGCAGGCCUAACACAUGCAAGUCGAGCGAGCGGCGGACGGGUGCGUAAUGUUUGGGGACUGCCCGAUAGAAGGGGAUAACUACUGGAAACGGUAGCUAAUACCGCAAACUAUCGGAUAACCCAAAUGUGUUUAGAUAGUAGGUGAGGGAAUGGCUCACCUAGGCGACGAUCCCUAGCUGGUCUGAGAGGAUGAGCAGCGACACUGGAACGUUGACACGGCCCAGCCUCCUACGGAGGCAGCAGUGGGGAUUAUUGCACAGUGGGCACAAGCCUGAUGCAGCCAUGCCCCGUGUAUGAAGAAGUCCUUAGGUUUGUAAACUACUUUCAGUCGGGAGGCCUUACCGACCGAAGAAUCGCCGGCUAACUCCGUGCCAGCAGCCGCGGUAAUUC